rnacentral:pre_miRNA from 14 species
AUCUUGGCAGUGGCCGAGAGAAGGGGGAUGGAGAAGAGAAAGACACAGUCACAUAGUGAAAGAUCCCCAAAGGGAGACCCUCACUCAAGUCUCGGGAAGUAGAGGACCCCAGACACACGAGAGACC